rnacentral:tRNA from 1 species
GGGGCUGUGGCUUAGAGGUAGAGCACUCGCCUACCAUGCGUGAGGCACUGGUGUUCGAUCCCCAGCACCACA